CACAUGUUGGUGUCUCUCCCAAUCUACAGAGUGCUGUACAGCCCAAUACCCAGUCUAAUGACUGAAUAGGGGAGACUGGGGUUCCACAUGUUGGUGUCUCUCCCAAUCUACAGAGUGCUGUACAGCCCAAUACCCAGUCUAAUAACUGAACAGGGAGACUGGGGAAAGGGGUUCCACAUGUUGGGGUCUUGGUUUUACAGGUGAAUGUGUGUAUUUUACAGGUGAAUGUGUGUAUUUUAUAGGUGAAUGUGUGUAUUUUAUAGGUGAAUGUGUGUAUUUUAUAGGUGAAUGUGUGUAUUUUACAGGUGAAUGUGUGUAUUUUAUAGGUGAAUGUGUGUAUUUU
ensembl:lncRNA